rnacentral:tRNA from 1 species
GGAGAGAUGCCCGAGCGGUUGAAGGGGCGCGCCUGGAAAGCGUGUAUACGUCUUACGACGUAUCGAGGGUUCGAAUCCCUCUCUCUCCGCCA